CACGCUGUAAACGAUGAGAGCUAGUUGUCGGCACGCAUGCGUGUCGGUGACGCAGCUAACGCAUUAAGCUCUCCGCCUGGGGAGUACGGCCGCAAGGUUAAAACUCAAAGAAAUUGACGGGGGCCCGCACAAGCGGUGGAGCAUGUGGUUUAAUUCGAAGCAACGCGAAGAACCUUACCCACGUUUGACAUGUCUAGUUUGAUCGUCAGAGAUGACUUUCUUCAGUUCGGCUGGCUAGAACACAGGUGC
rnacentral:rRNA from 2 species